rnacentral:rRNA from 1 species
CCUACGGGGGGCAGCAGUGAGGAAUAUUGGUCAAUGGACGAGAGUCUGAACCAGCCAAGUAGCGUGAAGGAUGACUGCCCUAUGGGUUGUAAACUUCUUUUAUAUGGGAAUAAAAUGUUCCACGUGUGGGAUUUUGUAUGUACCAUAUGAAUAAGGGUCGGCUAACUCCGUGCCAGCAGCCGCGGUAAUACGGAGGAUCCGAGCGUUAUCCGGAUUUAUUGGGUUUAAAGGGAGCGUAGGUGGAUUGUUAAGUCAGUUGUGAAAGUUUGCGGCUCAACCGUAAAAUUGCAGUUGAAACUGGCAGUCUUGAGUACAGUAGAGGUGGGCGGAAUUCGUGGUGUAGCGGUGAAAUGCUUAGAUAUCACGAAGAACUCCGAUUGCGAAGGCAGUUCACUGGACUGCAACUGACACUGAGGCUCGAAAGUGUGGGUAUCAAACAGGAUUAGAUACCCCAGUAGUC